rnacentral:rRNA from 1 species
UGCUGCUGCAAACCGUCUCUUGUCACCUCUGUGACAUACCACUUGUUGCCUCGGCGGAUCAGCCCGCUCCCGGUAAAACGGGACGGCCCGCCAGAGGACCCCUAAACUCUGUUUCUAUAUGUAACUUCUGAGUAAAACCAUAAAUAAAUCAAAACUUUCAACAACGGAUCUCUUGGUUCUGGCAUCGAUGAAGAACGCAGCAAAAUGCGAUAAGUAAUGUGAAUUGCAGAAUUCAGUGAAUCAUCGAAUCUUUGAACGCACAUUGCGCCCGCCAGUAUUCUGGCGGGCAUGCCUGUUCGAGCGUCAUUUUAACCCUCAAGCACAGCUUGGUGUUGGGACUCGCGUUAAUUCGCGUUCCUCAAAUUGAUUGGCGGUCACGUCGAGCUUCCAUAGCGUAGUAGUAAAACCCUCGUUACUGGUAAUCGUCGCGGCCACGCCGUUAAACCCCAACUUCUGAAUGUUGACCUCGGAUCAGGUAGGAAUACCCGCUGAACUUAAGCAUAUCAAUAGCCGGAGGAAACUCUUUACGGGUUUCCACCCAACCCGGUGAAAAUACACUUGUUGCUCGCGAUAGCCGCUCCGGUAAAACGGGAGGCGCAGAGGACCUAAACUCUGUUUCUAUAUGUAACUUCUGAGUAAAACAUAAAUAAAAUCAAAACUUUCACGUAUCUGGAUUUCGGCAUCAGAAGAAGACAAAUCAUAAUUUAAUGUGAAUUGCAGAAUUCGUGAAUCAUCGAAUCUUUGAACGCACAUUGCGGCUAUUGUGGCUGCAGUCAUUGACCCUCUCAUCUGCAGUUUUGGGAGCGUUUAAUGUUU